rnacentral:sRNA from 1 species
GGGCCCGUGCAGUCAUCUGCCGCGUAUCCGAGCCAUCCGUGGUCCCCGGGUCCCAGUACUUGAGCUAUAGAACGACACUGUAACUAUCCGCACUAGAAAGUUCAUGACCAACCGACUCCUUCAGAGGAAACAAAUGGUCAUUGAUGUCCUUCACCCCGGGAAGGCAACAGUGCCUAAGACAGAAAUUCGGGAAAAACUAGCCAAAAUGUACAAGACCACACCGGAUGUCAUCUUUGUAUUUGGAUUCAGAACUCAUUUUGGUGGUGGCAAGACAACUGGCUUUGGCAUGAUUUAUGAUUCCCUGGAUUAUGCAAAGAAAAAUGAACCCAAACAUAGACUUGCAAGACAUGGCCUGUAUGAGAAGAAAAAGACCUCAAGAAAGCAACGAAAGGAACGCAAGAACAGAAUGAAGAAAGUCAGGGGGACUGCAAAGGCCAAUGUUGGUGCUGGCAAAAAGCCGAAGGAGUAAAGGUGCUGCAAUGAUGUUAGCUGUGGCCACUGUGGAUUUUUCACAAGAACAUUAAUAAACUAAAAACUUC